rnacentral:snoRNA from 1 species
UUUCCGUGAAGAUAAACUGUCCAGUUCUGCAACUGAAUGGAAGUGAUGUUCAUAAAAACUCUGAGAAA